rnacentral:rRNA from 1 species
GACGAACGCUGGCGGCGUGCUUAACACAUGCAAGUCGAACGGAAAGGCCCUGCUUUUGUGGGGUGCUCAAGUGGCGAACGGGUGAGUAACACGUGAGUAACCUGCCCUUGACUUUGGGAUAACUUCAGGAAACUGGGGCUAAUACCGGAUAGGAGCUCCUGCUGCAUGGUGGGGGUUGGAAAGUUUCGGCGGUUGGGGAUGGACUCGCGGCUUAUCAGCUUGUUGGUGGGGUAGUGGCUUACCAAGGCUUUGACGGGUAGCCGGCCUGAGAGGGUGACCGGCCACAUUGGGACUGAGAUACGGCCCAGACUCCUACGGGAGGCAGCAGUGGGGAAUAUUGCACAAUGGGCGGAAGCCUGAUGCAGCAACGCCGCGUGCGGGAUGACGGCCUUCGGGUUGUAAACCGCUUUCGCCUGUGACGAAGCGUGAGUGACGGUAAUGGGUAAAGAAGCACCGGCUAACUACGUGCCAGCAGCCGCGGUGAUACGUAGGGUGCGAGCGUUGUCCGGAUUUAUUGGGCGUAAAGGGCUCGUAGGUGGUUGAUCGCGUCGGAAGUGUAAUCUUGGGGCUUAACCCUGAGCGUGCUUUCGAUACGGGUUGACUUGAGGAAGGUAGGGGAGAAUGGAAUUCCUGGUGGAGCGGUGGAAUGCGCAGAUAUCAGGAGGAACACCAGUGGCGAAGGCGGUUCUCUGGGCCUUUCCUGACGCUGAGGAGCGAAAGCGUGGGGAGCGAACAGGCUUAGAUACCCUGGUAGUCCACGCUGUAAACGGUGGGUACUAGGUGUGGGGUCCAUUCCACGGGUUCCGUGCCGUAGCUAACGCCUUAAGUACCCCGCCUGGGGAGUACGGCCGCAAGGCUAAAACUCAAAGGAAUUGACGGGGCCCCGCACAAGCGGCGGAGCAUGCGGAUUAAUUCGAUGCAACGCGUAGAACCUUACCUGGGUUUGACAUGGAUCGGGAGUGCUCAGAGAUGGGUGUGCCUCUUUUGGGGUCGAUUCACAGGUGGUGCAUGGCUGUCGUCAGCUCGUGUCGUGAGAUGUUGGGUUAAGUCCCGCAACGAGCGCAACCCUUGUUCACUGUUGCCAGCACGUUAUGGUGGGGACUCAGUGGAGACCGCCGGGGUCAACUCGGAGGAAGGUGGGGAUGACGUCAAGUCAUCAUGCCCCUUAUGUCCAGGGCUUCACGCAUGCUACAAUGGCUGGUACAGAGAGUGGCGAGCCUGUGAGGGUGAGCGAAUCUCGGAAAGCCGGUCUCAGUUCGGAUUGGGGUCUGCAACUCGAUCUCAUGAAGUCGGAGUCGCUAGUAAUCGCAGAUCAGCAACGCUGCGGUGAAUACGUUCCCGGG